UAGCCCUACGGGACGCAGCAGUGGGGAAUAUUGCACAAUGGGGGAAACCCUGAUGCAGCGACGCCGCGUGAGCGAGGAAGUAUUUCGGUAUGUAAAGCUCUAUCAGCAGGGACGAAAAAAGACGGUACCUGACUAAGAAGCCCCGGCUAACCACGUGCCAGCAGCCGCGGUAAUACGUAGGGGGCAAGCGUUAUCCGGAUUUACUGGGUGUAAAGGGAGCGUAGACGGCUGAGCAAGUCUGAAGUGAAAGGCGGGGGCCCAACCCCCGGACUGCUUUGGAAACUGUAUAGCUAGAGUGCAG
rnacentral:rRNA from 1 species